GCAAUGAUAAAGAAAAUAACCUUCUGAAAGUUUGUGUAGAUCAGAAAUAAAGUAUUUUUUGUGGAAGGCUGUUUUUAAGUAUUGAAGGUACUAUUUCCUUUCUUGAAUUCAUAUUGCAGAUGUACGGUGUGGAUUUAUUGGUUUAUCUCUGCAAACCUUAAAGUAGAAGAUUGCAAGGGCCAGGUGCGGUGGCUCACGCCUGUAAUCCCAGCACUUUGGGAGGCUGAGGCAGGAGAAUUGCUGGAACCUGGGAGGCAGAGGUUGCAGUGGGCCGAGAUCACGCCACUGCACUCCAGCCUGGGUAACAGAGCAAGACUGCUUCAAAAAAAAAUUUUUUUUAAUUAAAAAAAAAAAAGUAGAUGACUGCAGCAAAGAGGAGAUUUAUUAGCUCUUCCUUUCAAGUAUCUGUGUACUGUAUAUAAACAACAAAAGCUGACCAAGAGUGGUACUUGUGCUAGGCAUAUUAGUAACUGCUUUGUAAUUGAAAGCAAGAAAUAUCAUAAACAAGCAUUAGAUGGCUAACUACCAAACAAGUUAAGUCCCUUAGGGCAGGUAGAUUCAGUCUUUUCCUUCUCUG
rnacentral:antisense_RNA from 1 species